rnacentral:rRNA from 1 species
ACGGUAGGCCCCUUCGGGGGUACACGAGUGGCGAACGGGUGAGUAACACGUGAGCAACCUGCCCUUGACACUGGAAUAACAGUUGGAAACAGCUGCUAAUACCGGGUAUGACUCGCCUCGGCAUCGAGGUGGGUGGAAAGCCCUGGCGGUCAAGGAUGGGCUCGCGGCCUAUCAGCUAGUUGGUGAGGUAAUGGCUCACCAAGGCUUCGACGGGUAGCCGGCCUGAGAGGGCGACCGGCCACACUGGGACUGAGAUACGGCCCAGACUCCUACGGGAGGCAGCAGUGGGGAAUAUUGCACAAUGGGCGAAAGCCUGAUGCAGCAACGCCGCGUGCGGAAUGACGGCCUUCGGGUUGUAGACCGCUUUCAGUAGGGACGAAGCGCAAGUGACGGUACCUACAGAAGAAGCACCGGCCAACUACGUGCCAGCAGCCGCGGUGAUACGUAGGGUGCAAGCGUUGUCCGGAAUUAUUGGGCGUAAAGGGCUUGUAGGCGGUUCGUCACGUCGAAAGUGAAAACUCAGGGCUUAACCCUGAGCCUGCUUUCGAUACGGGCGAACUAGAGGGAUGCAGGGGAGAACGGAAUUCCUGGUGGAGCGGUGGAAUGCGCAGAUAUCAGGAGGAACACCGGUGGCGAAGGCGGUUCUCUGGGCAUUACCUGACGCUGAGAAGCGAAAGCGUGGGGAGCAAACAGGCUUAGAUACCCUGGUAGUCCACGCCGUAAACGGUGGGCACUAGGUGUGGGGGACAUUCCACGUUCUCCGUGCCGAAGCUAACGCAUUAAGUGCCCCGCCUGGGAGUACGGCCGCAAGGCUAAAACUCAAAGGAAUUGACGGGGGCCCGCACAAGCGGCGGAGCAUGCGGAUUAAUUCGAUGCAACGCGAAGAACCUUACCUGGGUU